CACCCCGGCUAAAGCCCCGACGGGAGGGGAUGGCUCCGCGGCCCAUCAGGUAGACGGCGGGGUGACGGCCCACCGUGCCGACAACGGGUAGCCGGGUUGAGAGACCGACCGGCCAGAUUGGGACUGAGACACGGCCCAGACUCCUACGGGAGGCAGCAGUGGGGAAUCUUGCGCAAUGGGGGGAACCCUGACGCAGCGACGCCGCGUGCGGGACGGAGGCCUUCGGGUCGUAAACCGCUUUCAGCAGGGAAGAGUCAAGACUGUACCUGCAGAAGAAGCCCCGGCUAACUACGUGCCAGCAGCCGCGGCAAUACGUAGGGGGCGAGCGUUAUCCGGAUUCAUUGGGCGUAAAGCGCGCGUAGGCGGCCCGGCAGGCCGGGGGUCGAAGCGGGGGGCUCAACCCCCCGAAGCCCCCGGAACCUCCGCGGCUUGGGUCCGGUAGGGGAGGGUGGAACACCCGGUGUAGCGGUGGAAUGCGCAGAUAUCGGGUGGAACACCGGUGGCGAAGGCGGCCCUCUGGGCCGAGACCGACGCUGAGGCGCGAAAGCUGGGGGAGCGAACAGGAUUAGAUACCCUGGUAGUCCCAGCCGUAAACGAUGGACGCUAGGUGUGGGGGGACGAUCCCCCCGUGCCGCAG
rnacentral:rRNA from 1 species